rnacentral:rRNA from 1 species
UACGAACCGUACAAACGUUAUUCGGAAUCACUGGGCUUAAAGGGUGCGUAGGCGGCCAUGUAAGUGAGGUGUGAAAUCCCUCGGCUCAACCGAGGAACUGCGCUUCAUACUGCAUGGCUUGAAGGAGACAGGGGUAAGCGGAACUGAUGGUGGAGCGGUGAAAUGCGUUGAUAUCAUCAGGAACACCGGUGGCGAAAGCGGCUUACUGGGUCUCUUCUGACGCUGAGGUACGAAAGCUAGGGGAGCGAACGGG